CCUCUAGCCCUAACUCAAAUCAUCAUUCAAACUUUCUGAACUUGAAUUUAAAACGGACAGACUUGUAGGAGCAAAUGUUCCUCUAUGCGCAACACAGGACUGAAAACUCCCAUUAAGAAACAGACGACAUGAACGGAAAUUAUUGUUCUUCCUACGAGAAAUACCCAAGUAAUCAAGGAGUUGAUUGUUCUGAACAUUGUUAAAGUCAAGUUGCCCAGCGCUACA